ensembl:lncRNA
CCUCACACAAACUUUUCAGAUGAAGACAUGGCUGGGUAUGUGGCUCGGGGAUAGCAUGCUGGCCUAGCACACAUGGGCCCUAGGUUCAAUCUCCAGCACCACAGGGAAAGAAAAGAAAAAAACCAGAAUAUUUCCAUGCUGGUGGCCAAGGCAGGGCACCUUUCCGGCUGGGAAGGGAGAGCUGCUCCCAAUCCACAGGUCAUGUGGCAGACUGUCCCCCACGGAGAGGGUGGACGGCAAGCUCUCCAGUUCAAACAGGGGUGCCUUGCGCUGGUGCCGGGAACGACCUUGACCUCUGGAAUUAGCUGUCCUGAGCUGACAUCAUCUUCCUCAUCUGCUGAGAGCCUCGUCUCUGGUGAGAAAGCUUGAGGGGCUCGAGACGACCCUGCAUGUAACCCUGCAGCACACACCUCUCCCCUAUUUCCCUACCACUACUGCUGUCGACUGUGGAAACAAAACCAGCCCUGAGGUUUCUUUGUGCCAGACAUGGAUAUAAACUAGUCAAGAGAGAUGGCAUCUUUGCCACUAGAUUUUCAGGGACAGAAGCAAAGAAGAACUAUCUGAGGGAGACCCUCUGGGAGAUCUUUGCAGUUUUCUAUCAAAUGUUUGAGCCUAAAAGUUUCCUAGAAGACACAGGCCUAAGUGCCAGAGGGGAGGACUGGCCCCAGGUUACGCAGCAGCAGACAGGUGAGGCCCAAACAUUCUGGUCUCUCCUGAGCCAACCUCUGUGCCACCUGCCCAGAGCAGGUUGCUUGGGUAUUCUGGUCCUCAUCCUUCCAGAGGGCUGCUGCCAUCCAGAUCUCUAGUUCAGGUGUGGACCUCCCAGAGGGGCCGUGGCCACUGGUAGUCUCACAGCAUACAGGGAUGGCUGGGGUGGGCAGAGGUGUGUGGCACAAGGCAGGAGAUGCCCUCAGACCCUGAGGCUUCCUCCUCUAAGUCUGCCUGUGUCUGACAAUGAUUCUUCUUGUGACCUCCAGCAAGUUCUUUCUGUUCUUUGGCCUCAGUGUCUCCACCUGUAAAGUUUGAGCAAGCACCAUGGCACCCCCUCUCUGGGGAUGGCUGGGACAAAGAAAAGUCCCUAAGUGUAAAGCUCCUAAAACAGAGUCUGGCACAUGAUAAGUACUCAAUAAUUAAUACGGCCACUUCCUUGCCCAGCUGUCACAACUCUUGGCAAAGUGACAGCUCAGCACCCCAUGAAGCCGAGUGCCUGGAAAUGUGAGGUGUGCGACCCUCAGUGGUACCAUUUACCAGCACAAUGC